rnacentral:tRNA from 1 species
UUAUUAUGAAGCUAUAAAGCAGCUUAAUUUCGACUUAAGAAAAGAUUUAAAUAGUGAA